rnacentral:rRNA from 1 species
GGAAGCGAGACCGCAAGGUGGAGCGAAACCCAGAAAAGUACUCUCAGUUCAGAUUGUGGGCUGCAACCGCCCACAUGAAGUUGGAGUUGCUAGUAAUCGCGGAUCAGCAUGCCGCGGUGAAUACGUUCCCGGGCCUUGUACACACCGCCCGUCACACCAUGAGAGUCGGGAACACCCGAAGUCCGUAGCCUAACUUAUCUGAGAGGGCGCGGCCGAAGGUGGGUUCGAUAAUUGGGGUGAAGUCGUAACAAGGUACC